rnacentral:rRNA from 1 species
UUAAGCGACUAAGCGUACACGGUGGAUGCCCUGGCAGUCAGAGGCGAUGAAGGACGUGCUAAUCUGCGAUAAGCGUCGGUGAGGUGAUAUGAACCGUUAUAACCGGCGAUUUCCGAAUGGGGAAACCCAGUGUGUUUCGACACACUAUCAUUAACUGAAUCCAUAGGUUAAUGAGGCGAACCGGGGGAACUGAAACAUCUAAGUACCCCGAGGAAAAGAAAUCAACCGAGAUUCCCCCAGUAGCGGCGAGCGAACGGGGAGGAGCCCAGAGCCUGAAUCAGUGUGUGUGUUAGUGGAAGCGUCUGGAAAGGCGCGCGAUACAGGGUGACAGCCCCGUACACAAAAAUGCACAUACUGUGAGCUCGAUGAGUAGGGCGGGACACGUGGUAUCCUGUCUGAAUAUGGGGGGACCAUCCUCCAAGGCUAAAUACUCCUGACUGACCGAUAGUGAACCAGUACCGUGAGGGAAAGGCGAAAAGAACCCCGGCGAGGGGAGUGAAAAAGAACCUGAAACCGUGUACGUACAAGCAGUGGGAGCCUCUUAAUGGGGUGACUGCGUACCUUUUGUAUAAUGGGUCAGCGACUUAUAUUCUGUAGCAAGGUUAACCGAAUAGGGGAGCCGAAGGGAAACCGAGUCUUAACUGGGCGUUAAGUUGCAGGGUAUAGACCCGAAACCCGGUGAUCUAGCCAUGGGCAGGUUGAAGGUUGGGUAACACUAACUGGAGGACCGAACCGACUAAUGUUGAAAAAUUAGCGGAUGACUUGUGGCUGGGGGUGAAAGGCCAAUCAAACCGGGAGAUAGCUGGUUCUCCCCGAAAGCUAUUUAGGUAGCGCCUCGUGAAUUCAUCUCCGGGGGUAGAGCACUGUUUCGGCAAGGGGGUCAUCCCGACUUACCAACCCGAUGCAAACUGCGAAUACCGGAGAAUGUUAUCACGGGAGACACACGGCGGGUGCUAACGUCCGUCGUGAAGAGGGAAACAACCCAGACCGCCAGCUAAGGUCCCAAAGUCAUGGUUAAGUGGAAACGAUGUGGGAAGGCCCAGACAGCCAGGAUGUUGGCUUAGAAGCAGCCAUCAUUUAAAGAAAGCGUAAUAGCUCACUGGUCGAGUCGGCCUGCGCGGAAGAUGUAACGGGGCUAAACCAUGCACCGAAGCUGCGGCAGCGACACUAUGUGUUGUUGGGUAGGGGAGCGUUCUGUAAGCCUGUGAAGGUGGCCUGUGAGGGUUGCUGGAGGUAUCAGAAGUGCGAAUGCUGACAUAAGUAACGAUAAAGCGGGUGAAAAGCCCGCUCGCCGGAAGACCAAGGGUUCCUGUCCAACGUUAAUCGGGGCAGGGUGAGUCGACCCCUAAGGCGAGGCCGAAAGGCGUAGUCGAUGGGAAACAGGUUAAUAUUCCUGUACUUGGUGUUACUGCGAAGGGGGGACGGAGAAGGCUAUGUUGGCCGGGCGACGGUUGUCCCGGUUUAAGCGUGUAGGCUGGUUUUCCAGGCAAAUCCGGAAAAUCAAGGCUGAGGCGUGAUGACGAGGCACUACGGUGCUGAAGCGACAAAUGCCCUGCUUCCAGGAAAAGCCUCUAAGCAUCAGGUAACAUCAAAUCGUACCCCAAACCGACACAGGUGGUCAGGUAGAGAAUACCAAGGCGCUUGAGAGAACUCGGGUGAAGGAACUAGGCAAAAUGGUGCCGUAACUUCGGGAGAAGGCACGCUGAUAUGUAGGUGAAGCGACUUGCUCGUGGAGCUGAAAUCAGUCGAAGAUACCAGCUGGCUGCAACUGUUUAUUAAAAACACAGCACUGUGCAAACACGAAAGUGGACGUAUACGGUGUGACGCCUGCCCGGUGCCGGAAGGUUAAUUGAUGGGGUUAGCGGCAACGCGAAGCUCUUGAUCGAAGCCCCGGUAAACGGCGGCCGUAACUAUAACGGUCCUAAGGUAGCGAAAUUCCUUGUCGGGUAAGUUCCGACCUGCACGAAUGGCGUAAUGAUGGCCAGGCUGUCUCCACCCGAGACUCAGUGAAAUUGAACUCGCUGUGAAGAUGCAGUGUACCCGCGGCAAGACGGAAAGACCCCGUGAACCUUUACUAUAGCUUGACACUGAACAUUGAGCCUUGAUGUGUAGGAUAGGUGGGAGGCUUUGAAGUGUGGACGCCAGUCUGCAUGGAGCCGGCCUUGAAAUACCACCCUUUAAUGUUUGAUGUUCUAACGUGGGCCCCUUACCGGGGUUGCGGACAGUGUCUGGUGGGUAGUUUGACUGGGGCGGUCUCCUCCUAAAGAGUAACGGAGGAGCACGAAGGUUGGCUAAUCCUGGUCGGACAUCAGGAGGUUAGUGCAAUGGCAUAAGCCAGCUUGACUGCGAGCGUGACGGCGCGAGCAGGUGCGAAAGCAGGUCAUAGUGAUCCGGUGGUUCUGAAUGGAAGGGCCAUCGCUCAACGGAUAAAAGGUACUCCGGGGAUAACAGGCUGAUACCGCCCAAGAGUUCAUAUCGACGGCGGUGUUUGGCACCUCGAUGUCGGCUCAUCACAUCCUGGGGCUGAAGUAGGUCCCAAGGGUAUGGCUGUUCGCCAUUUAAAGUGGUACGCGAGCUGGGUUUAGAACGUCGUGAGACAGUUCGGUCCCUAUCUGCCGUGGGCGCUGGAGAACUGAGGGGGGCUGCUCCUAGUACGAGAGGACCGGAGUGGACGCAUCACUGGUGUUCGGGUUGUCAUGCCAAUGGCACUGCCCGGUAGCUAAAUGCGGAAGAGAUAAGUGCUGAAAGCAUCUAAGCACGAAACUUGCCCCGAGAUGAGUUCUCCCUGACCCUUUAAGGGUCCUGAAGGAACGUUGAAGACGACGACGUUGAUAGGCCGGGUGUGUAAGCGCAGCGAUGCGUUGAGCUAACCGGUACUAAUGAACCGUGAGGCUUAACCUU